UGUCUUUGUAGAGGGUCCGGCAGAGAGGCGAGUAGGCGUUGGUUUCUUCACUGAAGAUGGUGAUUCUAGGUUUUUCUGGCUUUUGACUAGUGAGACCACGUCGAGGUUUGUUGCUAAUGCAGCUUCAACCCAAAGAGAGACUGGACUUGGUGGAUCAGAUGACGACUGGAAACUAUCUUCAGAAACAAGCUGACUGUAUUUCGUAACGUCUCCAUAGAUUGUCAAAAACUGGUUGAUGAUUCGCAAUGGAUUCUCCAGCUUAGAGGCUGAAGAAAAUUCAGCGAAUUUACUGAAAUAUCCACCACAAAAUGGUGUGUCAAAGACCAAAUGAAAGUUGGAGUUGCCAAAAGUUUUUAAAUUUGUUAUUUCUACCUUAAACAUCUAAUGAUGCACUCAUUGGCAUUAGCCUCCUCCAAUGCCCGAGCGGCAGCUUUAGCAGCAAAGUUUCUUCUUUGCACAGCCUCCUGUUAAAUAAAUCAAAUAUACAAUCGCAUGAGGAUACAUAAACUCGCCCUUAGUCUUAGCAUAUCUAACACAAGAAACACUUUGUCACGUUCACCUUUGCAAGUCUUGCAAGAUCCCCUGGGAUGCUAUCCAAUGGAACACUACCAUCUGUCCAUUUCCUAUCAUGAUAAGUGAUCCCAAGUCCUUCAAAAGCUGAGACGUCUUCUUCAUCUUCCACUAAACUACUCGCAGAUGAACAAGACUUGGCUUUCUCUUCACAUGCUGAAGAAUCACUCUUUCGCCAAUUCGCAUCACUAAGACGUCUCGUCAUAGCAGCCUGAAACAAUUAAUUGUACAUUCUCCAUUUCAGUUCAUCACGCAACACACAAGUAUCAAACUUUAUCCUCGAUUGUUACCUGAGUACGCAAAAUCCCUUGAAGAUCAGUAUUCUUCUUAAUACUACUCUUCUCCUUCUGCUCAGGUUGAACAUUUCCAUCAAGUUCAUCCCAAUUCUUUCGGUUACCAUUCUUAGCUGAAGAUCCGACAAGAGCCUCGGAGACUUUGGAGAUUCCUGCAGCAAGCGCGGCCAUCUUCUUCUUCCCCAAAGAAUCGCCAACCAUGGGAGCCAUUUUCAAACCACUUGAAAGCCUUCUUCCGGGUGAAAUGGACAGUCUUCUUCCACUAGGAGAUGGAUUCACCUUCCUUCCAUUAGGUGAUGGUUGUCUGUAUCUGGACGGCACAACAAUGGCUGCCUCUCUAGCAACCUUUCUAUUCUCCUCACGCGCCGCUGCAAGGCUCGGCACUACGCAUUUGGAUGGAACCGGAGACGCAGAUCUCCUCCCUUUGGAGGAAACAACUGGUGAUGAAUCUCUUUCGACCCAAGAGCUGUGCUUCUUCCCUGAUGAGACUGACCGCUGCUUAGCCGAUGCUGGUGACGAGAAUCUCUGUGGCGUCCGCUUAGGUUUUUGGUCGUUUAGGUUCACGGGAGCAAGCGGUUGCCUUCCUCUGGGAGCCACCGUGACGUCAUCGUCGUCGUCGGAUCGUUUGUUGUUUAAGUAAACGGCGAUAGGGUCAAGCGAGUACUCAGAAGCGGGAACAGGCUGGAUAACGAAGUCUCGCUUGGAUCCGCGUGCGAUCAGCGGCUCGGGAGUUCCGACGAAAGCGUGACGGCCGGCGACGGGGCGGAUCUCUCUCUCUCUCUCUCUCUCUCUCUCUCUCUCUUUCUCUCUCUCUCUUUCAUUCUCUUUCAAUUUUUAUUUCUUUACAGGUGGAAAAAACAAAAUUGGAUGGGUAUUUAUAACAAAACUGGAAAUGGUUUUGGGCCUCGAUGGGCUGAAUCCGUUGGGCCAGAAUUUGGAUCAUUACAAUUUUACUUGAGCCAUAUUACCUUGUGCCAAAACACGGUAGGAGAAAGGAUUCGCAAGAAUUACCAAGUGACCUUGGAGGAGAAAGAGGGACCAAAUGAGUCUGCAGACUUGCUCCAUAAGUACCGAUCCAGAGCAUUUACGGUGAUCAGGAGAUAAUCUGCUGUAAUGGCUAUUUAAAUCGUUUGCAUCACCUGAGACCUAGCAGCAGGUAAAAUCCAUGAUCCGUUAUUUGGUGCAUCCACCACAAACGCACUCUUCCUGAUCCGCAAAUUUCAAGGACCACUGUCACCUGCCACACAAAACAAUGGUCCCAAGUGCGUCCAAUAGUCGAACCAAAAGCUUGCAACUUCCCCAUUUCCAAUAAUACAUCUCAUUACAAUUUUACUUGAGCCAUAUUACCUUGUGCCAAAACACGGUAAGAGAAAGGAUUCACAAGAAUUGCCAAGUGACCUUGGAGGAGAAAGAGGGACCAAAUGAGUCUGCAGACUUGCUCCAUAAGUACCGAUCCAGAGCAUUUACGGUGAUUGGGGGAUAAUCUGCUGUAAUGGCUAUUUAAAUCGUUUGCAUCACCUGAGACCUAGCAGCAGGUAAAAUCCAUGAUCCGUUAUUUGGUGCAUCCACCACAAACGCACUCUUCCUGAUCCGCAAAUUUCAAGGACCACUGUCACCUGCCACACAAAACAAUGGUCCCAAGUGCGUCCAAUAGUCGAACCAAAAGCUUGCAACUUCCCCAUUUCCAAUAAUACAUCUCAUUAAAUCAGAUAACAUUGGCCUGAGCUGCAGCAUAUUUUUAAUAGUAGCGGAAAGUAUCGGCAAAGCACUAAGCCUUCGCCUCUUAUGGAAAUACAUCUGAAACAUUUGAAUGAAGUUCCAUUUUGUGGGGCUCACAGUUUACAAAAACAAUUUAUUUAUAUACAUAUAGAAUACAUAUAUAUAUAUAUAAUGUGAAAACAAAAUCUACUUUUUAUUAUGCAUAAAUUUAAAUGAAAAUAAUAGCUUUGUGUUAUUAUGAUUUAAAAAUGAAUAAAAUAAAGAAAAUAUAUUAUGCUUAUAAUGUUAUUGAAAUCAAUAACUUUUUUCUUUAAAUAAAACAUAUAUCUUUUUGAUAAAACAUAAUAUUUAAUCCAAACUAAGGUUUUGCUAAAAAAAAGUUAAUGAAAAUAUUAUUAAUUAAACACAUUUUUAAUAGGGCUCCAAAACCUGAUGAGGAGACUCUGCCUUUGGAUAUGAUUUUCCAUAAGUUGUACCUUUAACUUUUAAGAUUGUUUUGGAUACAUUUUUGUAUAAUGGGGCUAUUGAGACACUCAAAGGUUGGAAAAAGGAGCACCGUUUUCUCUUUACCUUGCACAGAACAGAAGUACUUCUCACAUGUUGCUUGUGCCAAGGGUAACACUGAGAACGAAUUAGCUAUAGUGAGUUUCAAUUCUUGAAUUCUGUUAUGUCUUUGUCCUUGAAGAGAUUCUGAGACGAAUAAAGUCUGAACCUCACGUUUUAAUUUCCUCUGUGAAGCUCAAUGGGUAUGAUGAAAAUUUUGCUGAAGGCUUUAGAGCAGUUUUGAUUGACAAGGAUAAGGUUUGUUUCAUUGCCAACAAAUUUUUGUCUUUGUCUAUAUCAAACCCUCUGAAACAAACGAAACUGAUGCUAUCUGAGAAAAUUGCAUCUCAGAAUCCGAAAUGCAACCCGGCAAGCAUUGAAGAAGUAGAGGAAAACGAGAUGGAAGUUCUCUGUAAACCAUUAAGUCCAUAAGUGGAAGAGUCAAAGGUCUAAUUCUAACUUGCUUUCUGCUCAAAGUUUGUGUGCAAACAAAAACCAAAUCUUUUUUUUAGCCAUGUUGAAGAACCUGUUACUGUAAUAGCUUCACUUAAUAUUUGUUUUUGAUUAAUAUGUUCGAGCAUUUGAGAAACAUGAGCAUUGUAUGGAAAGUUUGAAACGUGAAAGCAUCUGUGUCGACAAAACCAAAAGAUAAUAAAAAUAAAUCAAGAAGCAGUGUUGUCAAAAGUAGAACCGACGUGGUGGAUCACGAAUCCAUAGAUUUUUCGUUUCAACCGUUCAAUCUUGUCCGUUAAAUGCAUUGUUGUGAUCUGGUUUUCUUGGUCCGACACGACACGGUCUAACCACUCGUUGACUUGUUUCAGCUGAGACAGAACAGCAGCUAUGGAACUACCGUCUAAAGGCCGCGCAUUUUUGUUGUCUAACGACUCUUCGACGAACCCAAUGAACCACAUUUGCAUUUCGGCUUGUACGUUCACUGCGAAUUUAGCUGUCUCCUUCAUGCCAUCUUUGUCUGUCCACAUCCCAACAAUGUUGUCUGAAACCACCACAGUUACAAGUUUGUAAAAAUAUUUUGCUUUGUUGAUUGAAGAUUAAAAUCUGUUUCAGUUGAAGAGCAAACCUGUCUUUGUAGAGGGUCCGGCAGAGAGGCGAGUAGGCGUUGGUUUCUUCACUGAAGAUGGUGAUUCUAGGUUUUUCUGGCUUUUGACUAGUGAGACCACGUCGAGGUUUGUUGCUAAUGCAGCUUCAACCCAAAGAGAGACUGGACUUGGUGGAUCAGAUGACGACUGGAAACUAUCUUCAGAAACAAGCUGACUGUAUUUCGUAACGUCUCCAUAGAUUGUCAAAAACUGGUUGAUGAUUCGCAAUGGAUUCU
rnacentral:lncRNA from 1 species